rnacentral:lncRNA from 1 species
CGCGGGGCAGGGUUGGAGGCGCCGCCUCUGGCUCCUGCGCGCUCUUCCCCAGGUCUGAGGGCGGGUCGGAUUUUCUUUCCGCGACUGUACCCCGGGUCUCCUGGUCGUUGCCCUCUCUGUGCUAGAGGCCGACCUCACCCGGGACUAAGUUCCCAGACGCUCAGGUUGGGGUUGGGUCUAACGGAGUUCUGCAAGAUUCUUUUUGAAAAUAGGACGAUUACGGCCAUGUUGCGUCAGCACAGGGCAGUAACCUGUACCUCUAAACAAGUUGUGGCAAAUUGAAUCCUAACUUCAGAUGUGAUAUUUAACUUAGGAGAAGGGAAAUCCACCUAAGCGGAUUUAACCCUCUUCUGCUCAGACCUUAAAAAACCUUUGGAUACUUUUUCCAAAAGUGGAUCAUCACAUGCUUAUGUUUUUUCCAAACUGAGCAUAAACUCUUGAAAACUUAGCUUAUUAUCAAAGUGAAUUGUUGCAUAGUUAUGAUUCCGUUGUUGAGCUGCGUAGGUCUCUUGCUGUAGUUCAGUGGCACUAAAUUUUUUUUUUCUCUUUGAAAUUGCAUUUAAAAAAGCUUUGAAAGCUCUAGUGUGUCUCCCCGCUCUCUUCCGCUUUUCUAAUAAAACAUUAAAGGCUUCUGACUUGCUGCUGGUCUGGACUUGGGAAAACAAGUGAUCUUUCAAAGUGUAGGGAUGCAUUGGUUCCUGUGUUGUUCCAUCCGCAUCACCUGGGAACUUGUUGGAAAUGCAAAUUUUGGCGUCUUAUCCAAAAUUAGAGAUUAUUUUAGCAAGCCUUCCGUUUGAUUCCCAGUGCAUCUGGCGCUAAGGUUUCAGAAUGACUGACAUUAGUUAUAACGCCCAUUGUGGAGUCACAGGGGGAUUUGAAUUAAGUUCAAGUGUAACCUAGAUAUAGAAUCUUGGACAAGUCACUUAAAUGUUACUUCAUGGGCCAUGUGAAAACGAACAAAAGAAUAUAUCACCAAUUCAUAAAAUUCUCACCAAAGGUGAGAUAUUGUUAUUACGUUAGGACUACCUGAAAUUAGUAUGAGAAUUGUGUUGGAAGGAUACUUUGUUGGGUUAAAUAAGAAUUGUGCAUUAGAGGAGUGUAAGCAGGGCUUAGAGGGUAUUUAUUCUGUUAAAUUGUAAGUAGUCAAGAUUGUUGAUGCAGGGUAUUCUGUUAAAAGAGCAGUUGUUCUAAUACUAACGCUAUUAAGGUUGUAGUAUUGUUGUAGAAUCAGUAAUUAUGUUGCGAUGUGUUUUAAUGUUUUGGUAUUUCUGGUUUCGUGGACUUAGUUGCAGUUAGUUAUGUUCUUUUGACCCAAAACUUGGAAGAGACUAGAGGUAAAUACUUCCUUUAGAGUUGAAAAGCAUUAUAGAGUAGUGAUUAGUAUAAAACAAAACAAAACAAAACAAAAAACCAAGACUAAUGAAAAUCUGUCCUUGUCUUUUGUUCCUGUAUGUCAUACAGCUCCCCUAUAGCAAAUAGGCC